rnacentral:hammerhead_ribozyme from 1 species
CGCCUGCUAAAGAGUCCCAUAAUAGAACGAAACGGCCGUCUAGUGC